AGUGAACGCUGGCGGUAGGCCUAACAUAUGCAAGUCGAACGGCAGCACAGUAAGAGCUUGCUCUUACGGGUGGCGAGUGGCGGACGGGUGAGGAAUACAUCGGAAUCUACUUUUUCGUGGGGGAUAACGUAGGGAAACUUACGCUAAUACCGCAUACGACCUACGGGUGAAAGCAGGGGAUCUUCGGACCUUGCGCGAUUGAAUGAGCCGAUGUCGGAUUAGCUAGUUGGCGGGGUAAAGGCCCACCAAGGCGACGAUCCGUAGCUGGUCUGAGAGGAUGAUCAGCCACACUGGAACUGAGACACGGUCCAGACUCCUACGGGAGGCAGCAGUGGGGAAUAUUGGACAAUGGGCGCAAGCCUGAUCCAGCCAUACCGCGUGGGUGAAGAAGGCCUUCGGGUUGUAAAGCCCUUUUGUUGGGAAAGAAAAGCAGCAGGUUAAUACCCCGCUGUUCCGACGGUACCCAAAGAAUAAGCACCGGCUAACUUCGUG
rnacentral:rRNA from 1 species